rnacentral:rRNA from 2 species
AGACCCGAAACCCGGUGAUCUAGCCAUGGGCAGGUUGAAGGUUGGGUAACACUAACUGGAGGACCGAACCGACUAAUGUUGAAAAAUUAGCGGAUGACCUGUGGCUGGGGGUGAAAGGCCAAUCAAACCGGGAGAUAGCUGGUUCUCCCCGAAAGCUAUUUAGGUAGCGCCUCGUGAAUUCAUCUCCGGGGGUAGAGCACUGUUUCGGCUAGGGGGCCAUCCCGGCUUACCAACCCGAUGCAAACUGCGAAUACCGGAGAAUGUUAUCACGGGAGACACACGGCGGGUGCUAACGUCCGUCGUGAAGAGGGAAACAACCCAGACCGCCAGCUAAGGUCCCAAAGUCAUGGUUAAGUGGGAAACGAUGUGGGAAGGCCCAGACAGCCAGGAUGUUGGCUUAGAAGCAGCCAUCAUUUAAAGAAAGCGUAAUAGCUCACUGGUCGAGUCGGCCUGCGCGGAAGAUGUAACGGGGCUAAACCAUGCACCGAAGCUGCGGCAGCGACGCUUAUGCGUUGUUGGGUAGGGGAGCGUUCUGUAAGCCUGUGAAGGUGGCCUGUGAGGGUUGCUGGAGGUAUCAGAAGUGCGAAUGCUGACAUAAGUAACGAUAAAGCGGGUGAAAAGCCCGCUCGCCGGAA